GAUGAACGCUGGCGGCGUGCCUAAUACAUGCAAGUCGAGCGAACAGACGAGGGGCUUGCUCCUCUGACGUUAGCGGCGGACGGGUGAGUAACACGUGGAUAACCUACCUAUAAGACUGGGAUAACUUCGGGAAACCGGAGCUAAUACCGGAUAAUAUAUUGAACCGCAUGGUUCAAUAGUGAAAGACGGUUUUGCUGUCACUUAUAGAUGGAUCCGCGCCGCAUUAGCUAGUUGGUAAGGUAACGGCUUACCAAGGCGACGAUGCGUAGCCGACCUGAGAGGGUGAUCGGCCACACUGGAACUGAGACACGGUCCAGACUCCUACGGGAGGCAGCAGUAGGGAAUCUUCCGCAAAGGGCGAAAGCCUGACGGAGCAACGCCGCGUGAGUGAUGAAGGUCUUCGGAUCGUAAAACUCUGUUAUUAGGGAAGAACAAAUGUGUAAGUAACUAUGCACGUCUUGACGGUACCUAAUCAGAAAGUCACGGCUAACUACGUG
rnacentral:rRNA from 1 species